rnacentral:rRNA from 1 species
GAUGAACGCUGGCGGCGUGCCUAAUACAUGCAAGUCGAGCGAACAGACGAGGAGCUUGCUCCUCUGACGUUAGCGGCGGACGGGUGAGUAACACGUGGAUAACCUACCUAUAAGACUGGGAUAACUUCGGGAAACCGGAGCUAAUACCGGAUAAUAUAUUGAACCGCAUGGUUCAAUAGUGAAAGACGGUUUUGCUGUCACUUAUAGAUGGAUCCGCGCCGCAUUAGCUAGUUGGUAAGGUAACGGCUUACCAAGGCGACGAUGCGUAGCCGACCUGAGAGGGUGAUCGGCCACACUGGAACUGAGACACGGUCCAGACUCCUACGGGAGGCAGCAGGAGGGAAUCUUCCGCAAUGGGCGAAAGCCUGACGGAGCAACGCCGCGUGAGUGAUGAAGGUCUUCGGAUCGUAAAACUCUGUUAUUAGAGAAGAACAAAUGUGUAAGUAACGAUGCACGUCUUGACGGUACCUAAUCAGAAAGCCACGGCUAACUACGG